GUCCUGAGGUCGGUUGUCUUCCCUACAUGGAUGGAUGUUGGGAUCUAGCUGACCUCUCCUGUAGUCAGACUUCCAAGCGGACCUGGACCUUUUCGCAUGCUGCUUGUGCUGUUCUGCUAACAACAACAUACUUGUUUUCUUGACAGCAGAAGCUCCAACAUCAACAUCUCGUCCUCCGAUGUCAUUUGAAGUUGAUGGAUCUGGUUUGAACUCAGGAACAUUGAUCGCACCCACCAGUUGUCGCUGUCACCACCAGAGCACACCACGGAAUGCUGCUUGCACUUGGAGCAGUCACCUGUGUAGCAGGAUACAGUUGCAUCUAACACUGCAGGUGGUCCUGAGGUCGGUUGUCUUCCCUACAUGGAUGGAUGUUGGGAUCUAGCUGACCUCUCCUGUAGUCAGACUUCCAAGCGGACCUGGACCUUUUCGCAUGCUGCUUGUGCUGUUCUGCUAACAACAACAUACUUGUUUUCUUGACAGCAGAAGCUCCAACACCAACAUCUCAUCCUCCGAUGUCAUUUGAAGUUGAUGGAUCUGGUUUGAACUCAGGAACAUUGAUCGCACCCACCAGUUGUCGCUGUCACCACCAGAGCACACCACGGAAUGCUGCUUGCACUUGGAGCAGUCACCUGUGUAGCAGGAUACAGUUGCAUCUAACACUGCAGGCUCAGAGUUGGAUUCUUCAGCUGUAACAGUUGCUGGCCGUAGUAUCCGUGUUGGACAUGGUCUGUCUCCAGUAUCUGUUGUUACCAGGGAAAGGCCGUCAGGACUGGGCUUGGCGAUCAGCUGAAAUUCCUGGGUGGUCAGUCUUCUGGUCAGAGCUGGUCUCUCUUCUCUGGUG